GGCGUGCUUAACACAUGCAAGUCGAACGAGAAAUCUUUAGCUUGCUAGAGAAAGUAAAGUGGCGCACGGGUGAGUAACGCGUGGGUAAUCUGCCUCCGAAUCGGGGAUAACAUUGCGAAAGCGAUGCUAAUACCGGAUAAAAUCUGGUUGGCUUCGGUGAACCGGAUCAAAGGUGGUCUCUUUAUAAAAGCUACCGUUUGGAGAUGAGCUCGCGUACCAUUAGCUAGUUGGUGAGGUAAAGGCUCACCAAGGCGACGAUGGUUAGCUGGUCUGAGAGGAUGAUCAGCCACACCGGAACUGGAACACGGUCCGGACUCCUACGGGAGGCAGCAGUGAGGAAUUUUGCGCAAUGGGGGAAACCCUGACGCAGCAACGCCGCGUGAGUGAUGAAGGCUUUCGGGUCGUAAAGCUCUGUCAGGUGGGAAGAACCCACCAAGUGUUAAGACCACUUGGUGCUGACGGUACCACCGAAGGAAGCACCGGCUAACUCCGUGCCAGCAGCCGCGGUAAUACGGGGGGUGCGAGCGUUAUUCGGAAUCAUUGGGCGUAAAGGGCGCGCAGGCGGUUUUGUAAGUCAGAUGUGAAAUCCCGGGGCUUAACCCCGGAAGUGCAUAUGAAACUAUGAGACUUGAGUAUGGGAGAGGGAAGCGGAAUUCCUGGUGUAGCGGUGAAAUGCGUAGAUAUCAGGAGGAACACCGGUGGCGAAGGCGGCUUCCUGGACCAAUACUGACGCUGAGGCGCGAAGGCGUGGGGAGCGAACAGGAUUAGAUACCCUGGUAGUCCACGCAGUAAACGUUGAUCACUAGGUGUAGCGGGUAUUGACCCCUGCUGUGCCGGAGUUAAACGCAUUAAGUGAUCCCGCCUGGGGAGUACGAUCGCAAGAUUAAAACUCAAAGGAAUUGACGGGGGCCCGCACA
rnacentral:rRNA from 1 species